CGAUGGCAAAUUCAUACACUUUCCUUGCCAAUUUGAGAGCCGGCCGAUGCUCUAACACCGCCGAGGUCCAUCUGUUGCCGCUUAAACUUUCAUCUAGAUAGUGUAUGAAAGCAUGAUGAAACUCUCAGUUGAGAAACUCCAUAUUACGAGUUUACAAAAAGCCUAUGGAGCGCUCAAGGAUUCCACCGCCGUUGGUCUGGUUGGUCUUGCUAAGGCCAACAGUGAAUUCAAGGAUUUAUAUAUUGUGAUCGGCAAGGCAUCAAAGUAUAUUUAAUCUCCUCCCAAAGAACGUCAUGUUUGCAGUCCUCUGCAAUUUCAAAACUAGGAUUUAAUUCAAGAACUACUAAUAACUACGAUGCAGUUGUCUUUCUGCAAAUAUAUUCUCGGGGACAUCUCUACUACAACCACAAGCAGAUGGUGUUUACAACAUCCAUGCAUUGUCAAAGAGAUUAUCCAAAACUCGCACUUGGUUAUAAGCUUCUUUGCUUCUCUGUAAGUUUCCCUCUGAACAAGAAGAUCCUAUAAAUGUAUUUUCAGUUUGAGAAACACAUGUACGUACAAGUAGAAAUGAAGAUGUUGAUCAUAGUCAUUCACAGAAUGUUAAGGGAAGGUGAUCCUACGUUCAUAGAAGAGCUUUUAAAUUACUCUCAGAGAAGACACAUUUUCAAGAUUUUGAAACUCAAACUUCAAAGACGAUACAAGUCCUCUUGCCUGGUAUUGCUCUGCUUGGGAUAGAACAGACGCGCUCUUUCUCGAAGAGCGGCAUAAAUGUUAUCAUGUUUUAAAAUAUGAUAUAGAGGCAGAGUGUUUGGUAAGAGCUUAAGGUGCAGCUUCCAAGGUGAUAACAACCCCGGAUAUGAUAUACCUGGAGCGUUUAUGUUGAUCACACUAUUAUAUGGUUCAUGUGCAGGGGGUGAUAACAAUCAUGAAUAUGAUAUACCUGGAGCUGGGCCUGUUUCAUUAAAACCUUUGAAAAAUUUGUCCAAAAUAGUCUCAGCUACCUCCUCUGGAUGGCUUCUUCUUGAGAUACAGAAGGAUCAACAGCCUCUGACAAUGUCAUCCAUGUUGAAUUUGUGUAUGGUGCAUUAUCAAAAAGCCACGCAAUGCUUAGCUUCCAAGCUUAGGAAUGGGCAAGACCAAAGCUGACAAUUGCUCAUUCUUAGGAUUUUAUCUACUCUUACGCUCAAAUAAAUUGACUAGGAUUACGUUUUGUUCUUGAAUCAUGUCAUUGUUGGUCUUUUAUCUUCACAUUUUUUAAUAAAUAACACCUCUUGACUUUU